ACACAAAAAAAGGUGGGGAACGUUUCCUUCCUUCCUUCUCCUCCCCUGCUUCCUUUAAAACACUGACACCCGAAAGCCACAACUCUCAAGCCUCCUUAUUACACGACAAACAACUCAACCUCGCAAGUUGCUGCUUUCAACUGCAAAAAUCACUCACAUUGCCUCCUCUCUCUCUCUCUCUUUCUCUCUGAGAUCUUAAAUAAAGAUCUAUUUCUCUCGCUUCCCCUCUCCUUAUCUUCUUCCUCUUUCCUUCAGCUGCGAAGAGGAGGAAGCCGAGGAAGAGGUGGAGAGAACUCAUGAAAGCUCUCUUGCUUCUUGGGGUUUCUGUUCUGGUUCUCGUGAGGUCUUCUUCCGGCUUUGAGUGGUGGAAUGUGAGCGAGGUGGAAGCUGUGACCGAUGGAUUUGUCGGCGGGAAUCCUCUCUUUGUGGGUCUGACCCUCAUUCGAGGUGCCGACGCUAAAGGAGCUGUGUGUACGGACGGGAGCUUACCGGGUUAUCAUCUACAUCGUGGGUAUGGAUCAGGGGCAAACAGUUGGCUCAUCCAAUUAGAGGGAGGAGGCUGGUGCAGUGACAUAAAAACAUGUGUUUUCCGCAAGACAACUCGCCGUGGUUCAUCAUACCAUAUGGAGAGGAUGAUACCGUUCACUGGAAUAUUGAGUAACAAGCGUGAAGAAAAUCCUGAUUUUUUUAAUUGGAACAGAGUCAAGGUUCGCUACUGUGAUGGUGCAUCAUUUCUUGGUGAAGGUUAUAAUGCGGCUGCUGGCCUAUAUUUUCGAGGGCAGCGUAUCUGGUUAGCAGUGAUGGAAGAUCUAAUGUCAAAGGGAAUGCGUUAUGCCAACCAGGCCCUUCUUUCUGGUUGUUCUGCUGGGGGACUAGCAUCCAUUCUACACUGUGAUGAAUUUCGAGCAUUAUUUCCAAGAAGAACAAAAGUCAAGUGCCUUGGUGAUGCCGGAAUGUUUCUUGAUGCAGUUGAUGUAGCAGGUGGGCGAACCCUGAGAUCCUUCUUUGGAGGUGUUGUGAACUUUCAGGGGGCGGCAAAGAACUUGCCAAGGACUUGUACUUCUCGCAUGGAUGCAACUUCGUGCUUCUUUCCACAGAACAUUGUGGCCAAUGUUCGGACCCCACUUUUUCUUUUGAAUACAGCCUAUGAUGUAUGGCAGAUUCAGGAAAGUUUAGCUCCCAGAACAGCUGAUCCUCGUGGUUACUGGCGAGAAUGUAAAAUGAAUUAUGCAAAAUGUGAUGCAUAUCAAAUCCAGGUUCUGCAAGGGUUCCGGAAUCAAAUGCUUAAUGCUGUAAAAGGAUUCUCCACGUACGGGCAAAAUGGGUUAUUUAUAAAUUCAUGUUUUGCUCAUUGCCAAAGUGAGAGGCAGGACACAUGGUAUUCAAGUAAUUCUCCCCUUAUCGGGAACAAGGCCAUCAAAGAACUUGCAUUCUAAUUCACUGUUUCUGCAAUUCUCCUUUGAAAAAUGGGUUCAGAAAGCUGAAAGAUAAAAUGGUCAUCUGAAUAUUCCAUAAAACUCAUAAAACCUGUAUUCCAUCAUAAAGUCCAUGAAGCCAUUGAUCAAGAAAGGGGCAUUAUCAUGACAGUGCGAGAAUGGAUGUUUCUGUAGAUCAAGCCAGUACUACCACCAGAUUUGCUUUGACUGUUUGUUACCAAUGAACUUUCGAAUUCUCUAGAAUGCUGGUUGUCUCUACAUUCAUCUCUUGAGAAUUGCAACAGCUGUUGGUGACUGGUACUUUGAUCGAUCCAGCAUAAAGUCAAUGGACUGCCCAUUCCCUUGUGACAGGACUUGCCACAAUCUGAUAUUCAGGAGAAGGCACUGAAUUACCAUUGAUGAUUCCUCAUAAUCUUGAAGCAUUGCGUAUUCUUAUUUAGGUGAAAUAAUAACUAGACAUGAGCCAACAGAAAAGAAUACAGAGGUCUGUAAGUUUCUUGCUUGCUGUAACCCAGAGUCCAGCAAUGAAAUUAACUUGUGUUGGAUUCUGCAUUCAUCCAAUAAAUGAUUCUUCCACAUGUUCAUGGAAGGCAAAGAAAUCCGAAAGAUAUCAUUAUAGCAUAUGCCAAUUGUAUCUUUGUAGAACUCAACAGAUUUGAGCUUAGAAAUAUAUUAAAGCAUCUACUAUUUAUUUCUGGU